UACCUGGUUGAUCCUGCCAGUAGUCAUAUGCUUGUCUCAAAGAUUAAGCCAUGCAAGUCUAAGUACGAGCUCUCGUACAGUGAAACUGCGAAUGGCUCAUUAAAUCAGUUAUGGUUCAUUUGAUCGUACAGUUUACUUGGAUAACUGUGGUAAUUCUAGAGCUAAUACAUGCGAGAAGCGCCGACCUCGCGGGAGGCGUGCAUUUAUCAGACCAAAAACCGGCCGCGUCUUCGGGCGCGUUCGCCUUGGUGACUCUGGAUAACUUUGCGGAUCGCACGGUCUAGCACCGGCGACGGAUCAUUCAAGUGUCUGCCCUAUCAACUUUCGUCGGUACGGUAUUUGCCUACCGAGGUUCUUACGGGUGACGGGGAAUCAGGGUUCGAUUCCGGAGAGGGAGCCUGAGAAACGGCUACCACAUCCAAGGAAGGCAGCAGGCGCGCAAAUUACCCAUUCCCGACGCGGGGAGGUAGUGACGAAAAAUAACAAUGCAGGACUCGUUCGAGGCCCUGUAAUUGGAAUGAGUACACUUUAAAAGCUUUAACGAGUAUCCAUUGGAGGGCAAGUCUGGUGCCAGCAGCCGCGGUAAUUCCAGCU
rfam:Ciona savignyi cont_30715, whole genome shotgun sequence.